UGAGCAGGCCACCUUAUCGCUGCCAAUGUAUAUUGGGGGAGGAAAGUCCGGACACCAAAGUGCGGUAUAGCGGGUAACGCCCGUCCGCCGAAAGGCGAGGACAAGUGCAACAGAAAGCAAGUACAGUUCGGCUGUAGUGAAAUCAGGUAAACUCUAUACGGUGAAACGUCAUGUAAAUCGGUGUUUGAGGGCUGCACGCCCGAGCCGAAGGGUAGGCGGUUAGAACCAUCGGGUAACCUUUGGUCUAGAUAAAUGAUAAGGUUUCGUAUACGAAAACAGAAUCCGGCUUAUGGCCUGCUUUUUUU
rnacentral:RNase_P_RNA from 1 species